GCCCCUACGGGAGGCAGCAGUGAGGAAUAUUGGUCAAUGGGCGGAAGCCUGAACCAGCCAAGUCGCGUGAGGGAAUAAGGCCCUACGGGUCGUAAACCUCUUUUGCCGGGGAGCAAGGGCCGGGACGAGUCCCGUUCCGGAGAGUACCCGGAGAAAAAGCAUCGGCUACCUCCGUGCCAGCAGCCGCGGUAAUACGGAGGAUGCGAGCGUUAUCCGGAUUUUUUGGGUUUAAAGGUGGCGUAGGCGGGCUUUUAAUUCAGCGGUAAAAAUUCGGGCCUCAACCCCGUCCGGCCGUU
rnacentral:rRNA from 1 species